rnacentral:rRNA from 1 species
AUACGUAGAGUGCAAGCGUUGUCCGGAAUUAUUGGGCGUAAAGGGUACGCAGGCGGAUAGUAAAGUCAAAUGUGAAAGGUGUCGGCUUAACCGACAGAUUGCGUUUGAAACUUACUAUCUUGAGUGUAACAGAGGAGAGCGGAAUUCCUAGUGUAGUGGUGAAAUACGUAGAUAUUAGGAAGAACACCAGUGGCGAAGGCGGCUCUCUGGGUUACAACUGACGCUGAGGUACGAAAGCUGGGGGAGCGAACGGGAUUAGAUACCCCGGUAGUCCCAGCCGUAAACGAUGGAUACUAGGUGUUGGAGGUUCGAUUCCUUCGGUGCCGGAGUUAACGCAUUAAGUAUCCCGCCUGGGGAUUACGGUCGCAAGACUGAA